GCGCAUGCGCGCUGGUGUGGCGCGCGCGGCGCCGCCGCUGUGGGGGAGCGGGGCUGAGUGCAGCGGGAGCGCCGGGCACGGCAGCACCGCCUGCGGCAGCGGCAGCGGCGGGCGAGGGCUGCGCUGACAGCGGAGCGGGCCGGGAGAUGCUGUGGCUGCAGCGAGGCUGAAGAGACAGAGGAGAUGCUGCUGCACCACAUCCCCAGGAGAGCCCCUGCCUCCUUCUGCUCUCAGGGAUGGGACUGGGAGACGCCUCCACGCCGAGAGUGGCACUUGGCAUGGCUUCAGUCCCCAGUGGAAGAGGCUGGGCUCCCCGCUGCCCAGAGCUCCUGGUUAGGGACACCCACGCCUGCGCCUGGCUCAGAGUCCAGGGUGCACUCAGUCCGGAUCCAGCCUCGAGAUGUUCCUGCUGCAGCUGCAGGUGUUUCCCAGUCCAGCUUGCUGAACCUCCAGCUCUGACUGUGGCACGUUCUUCCUUCCAGCUCUGGCUCUGAGAUGCUGCACUUGAUGGCUGCUCCAGUUCCUUCCAGCUCUGGGUAAAUAACUGGUGUCUCUUGUGUAAUCUGUGUCUGUGUUCUGUCCUUUGUGUCCAUCUGUGUUACCUGUGUCACAUCUCCAUGCUUUAUCAGCGUCCUUCCAAGCCAUGGUAGCCAGGCUCUACUCGCCACAGGUUCGCGCUGCUGCUCGCUGAGUUUGGGGAAAUUUGGGGGAUUUUGGGCUGUUUUGAAAUAAUUUUUAAAGAGUUUUUUAGAUUUUAUUGGGGGAAUUUUUUGGGGUUAUUUUUGAGGUGGGGGGGUUUAGGAGUUUUUAAAAGGAUUUUUUGAGGAAUUUUUGUUUUGUUUGGUUGUUUUUUUUUUUAUUUUAAAAGGUUUUUUUUAGGGAACUUUUAAGGGGUUUUUGGAGAUUUUUAGGGGUUUUUAAAGGGGAUUUUAAAGAGAUUUUUUUUGGGGAUUUUGGGGGGUUUUUAAAGAAUUUUAAAGGGUUUUUUUGGGUUUUAUUGGGGGAAUUUUGGGAGUAUUUUGGGGAGAGUUAAGGGUUUUUAAAAGGAUUUUUGGAGGAAUUUUGGGAAUUUUUUUGGGGAUUUUAAAGGGAUAUUUUAGGGAAAUUUAAAGGGUUUUUGGAUAUUUUUUAGGGUUUUUUUUAGGGGAUUUUAAAGAGGUUUUUUUGGGAUUUUAAAGGAGUUUCGAGGGGUCUUAAAGCGGAAUUUGGGGGCUUUUUUGGGAUUUGUUUUUAGGUUUUUUGGGGGCUUUGAAGGUUUUCUUAAGGUAUUUGUUAGGGGUUUUGAAAAAGUUUUUUGAGGAUUUUUUGGGGAUUUUGAGGUAUUUUGGGGGGAUUGGGGGAGGUUUUGGGGGAUUUUUAGGGGUUUGUGAUUUUUUGGGGGAAUUUCUGUGCGGUUUGGGAUUUUUGUAAGGGGAAAUUUGAAAGUUUUUUGGGUUUUUUGGGCGGGUUUGUGUGGCUUCUUUUUUUUUUUUUCCUUGUUUUUGGCCUUUUUUGGUUUGAGUUUUUUAUUUUUUUUCAGUUUUUCAGGAUUUUUAAAUUUUUUAUAUGGUUUUUUUUUUACAUUUUCAACUAUAUUUUCAAUUUCCCCCCCCCCCCCCCACCGAAUUUCCCUUCCCAAGUUGGUUUUUUCAAGCACCACUACAAGGAGAUGCUGGAGGGCACCAAGACCCCCGGGGUGCCCCAGGACUGAGUGGGAGGAGCCCAGAAAUUUUGGGCACCUCACCCCCCCAAAUAAUUAAAUUCACAUGGAAGCUUC